rnacentral:lncRNA from 1 species
CCCAGUCUACUUUUACAAUCUCUCCGUUUUAAUCCAUGUUUUUAUUAGUUCUUGUUUUUUAUUGGCUAAUGUUUAAAUUCUUUUAAUUGUGCAUGUUUUUGUCUAUUGCUGUUUUAUACUGCUACUGUUUUUAUUUGGGCUUGGCCCCAUGGAAGCCGCCCUGAGUCCCCUUUGGGAAGAUAGAGGCGGGGUAUAAAAAUAAAGUUAUUAUUAUUAUUAUCAUCCCAUCGGGGGAAGUGUCAACACCCAAAUUCCCCCCAUUGCAGGGAAAGCAACACCGGAAGGCUUCCAGGUUGCCGCAGUUGCAUGUGCUGCUUUCUCUCACUUUUUGGCAUGGAUCCUGGCCAGAAGUGCCUGCACAUCAUGUGAAGGGCUCCAUGCAGAAAAGGGAGAGGAAGCAGCAAACGAUGGACAAAUUGGCCCAUCUGAUGAGACUGAAAGAGGCUUCCCCCAUGUGAUGAGAUAUUCCAGUGGAUUUUUUUUCUGUGAACCCAUGGGAAAUUUGGGUUUUAAGGA